rnacentral:tRNA from 1 species
UGGCACAGCAAUAAAAGCCUUUGUAUUGCUAAUGGGUCUGCUCUUUCCAAGCUGGACAAAGUCACCAAACUUGAACUGGUUCUCCGGGUCAUCAGCCUGGAACUUCUUCUUCCUGACCCUUCUCUUGUACUCUGGAUUACCUCAACUGGUGUUGAAUUUUGAGCAGAAAAUGAAUUCUCAAGAACAAAGAAAUAAAAACCAAAGCAAAACAGAAGAAGAGAAAAUAAAUCUUCUUCAGCAGAACAUCACUCUUACGCCGAGAGCUAGAAUUUCAUUUACAAUAUAGGCAUGGGAGAGUUGUUUACACUGAUUACAAAAAACUAACUUCUCUAGCAACUAAAAAUAAGCAAAAUAUGGCUGGAAGUAUGGUAAAAGUUACCUAACACAGCUGCAAAAUUACAACAAUAAUAAAAAAAAAAACAUUUUCAGUACAAGUUCCAGCAUAAAAUUAAGCAACUAAGUAUCUAGGAAAAAUCACAUUUUAGUCUAACAACCGGCACCGUCUUGUCAUUUGUUGCACAACACAAACCACUCUCCCUUGCAUUGACCUCAUGGCCCUGACCAGAGGGAGAAAAGUGAAGGGUUUAGGGGGUUGGAGGGAUAGAGAAGAUGUGGGUUUCGAGAAGUUAGAGAGUGGGGUUGUGCCAUGGAGGAAACGGGUGGAGAUAGCGAGAGAGUUUAGUGAGGAUUUGAGGGACAUUGUUAGUGACAUUGUUUACUCAAUGUUUGGGAGUUGGGGUUGGGGAUAAGAGGGCAAGAGAGUUUUGUUGGUUAUCAUUGUGGAUUGGGUGUUGUUUGGGGAUGGGGUAUAUGCGUGUUGUUCUGUUGGAAUUGGCGUAAGAAGCAACGCAUUGCGCAAGGCUUUUAAAAAACCGACAUAUUUGCUUUGGGUUUAGCCUACAAAAUAAUCAUUGUCUUGGACUGUAGAAGCAUGAGCAUGGAGAUUGGCAUUUUGGACUGUAAAUGAUCAUUGUCUUUUCAGUUCCAACGUAGCCCAUCUAGAUCUAGUAUUAUGGAUCUUGGGGGAUCAUUUUUCCUGGAUCUAAGCUUCAAAAUUUGUUUGAUGCUAUAAUUCAGUUGAAGAUCAUAAAAUGGAUAGGCUAAUCCAGCUAAAAUCCACAUGGCACCACAUAGAUGACAAUCCAAAUCUGUCUCAAGAAAAUCAUUGUGCCACGUGUCCAACUGAUAUCCAUGCAAAAGAUAAAAAGAAAAAACUCCCAAGUCUCAACUUCUUUUUCUACUGUAUGUUGCCUGCUGAAACAUAGAGAAAGACUUCAGCUGGCUGCGAACCAAAACCAGGGCAAUGGCAUCUCUAGCAACCUUUGCGUCCGUGCAAACUGCCACCGUCAAGGGCCUUGGUGGUAGUUCCCUCACUGGAACAAAGCUCUGUGUCAAGCCAUCUCGCCAGAGCUUGAGACCCAAAAACAUGAGGAGUGGCGCUGUGGUAGCAAAGUAUGGUGAUAAGAGUGUGUACUUUGAUUUGGACGAUCUGGGCAACACUACUGGGCAGUGGGACUUGUACGGAUCAGAUGCACCUUCUCCAUACAACCCUCUCCAGGUUUCUGACCACUUCCCUUCUGAAUUUGAAUUCAGAAAAAGAUAGAGCCAAGUCCAGUUAUGCGUUGAAUUUUCAUUUCUAUGGUAGAAAAUGCAAAAAAAUGUCUCAAAAUGCUUUCAUUGAGAGUCGAACUCAAGACCUCCCGCUUACUAAACGGGUGCUCUAACCAACUGAGCUAUGAAAGCAAUAGGUGCUGCUUAAUCAACAGAAAUUAAUAAUUGUGAUAUUCAGAUUGACAAUCGAUGUUCUUAUGUAACAUUGAAUAACAGUAAUUUUGGAUUAAGUGGAUUGAGAUGAUUUGAUCCUGUUGGUGUUCAUAAAUGAUUUAGUGAUAUGGUUCAAACUAAUAAGGUUGAGAAGAAAAUUUGUUGAGAGAGGGCAUACAUAAUUUGAUAUGUUUGAAGAUAUGUAUAUUGUUUAAAGAUUAGUUUAGACAGUUAAGGAACUAAAUUCUGCAUAUACAUGUUACUGCAGAGCAAGUUCUUUGAGACAUUUGCAGCUCCAUUCACCAAGAGAGGGUUGUUACUCAAGUUCUUGAUCUUGGGAGGUGGCUCUACCCUAGCUUACCUAAGUGCUACAGCUUCUGGUGACAUCCUACCAAUCAAGAAGGGCCCUCAACUUCCACCAAAGCUGGGGCCACGUGACAAGAUCUAAUUUGCCCUUUUCUUUGUAUGUAUCUUCUUUUGACUUUGUAAGUUUGUCUAAAGCCUACUUCAGAAUAAAGGCCCCUGUUAUUAACUCAACUACAUUUGUUUUCAGUGUGAUUUUGGGGAAAUCCUUUUUUCAAAUCAUCAAAUGCUUUCUGUUGGAUAUGUUACUGUAUACUAAAAUGAACUGCAAUCUUCCAAGUAUAAUUGAUCAAUUGUAUAGGAUUAGCUAAGCCAAAUAACUCUAGCAGAAUUGAAAUUGUUGCAGAAGAUUCAAGCUGUUUAGAACGCAACACAGGGAAAAAAAAAUGAAUUUUGUCCAUUUUGAACCCAUCCAAAAAAAUGACCUUUGAGUCUAACAUACUACAUGUGCAUUUCAUGUACAAAUGAAAGAAUGUAUGAAAUGCUUCAAAUACAAUAGUUUUUACACUUAUAUGCUUUCUUCCCUAUUUACAAAAGGAAGGAAUAGAAUGAAAAUAAGAAAACUCUUGACAGAAAGAACCACCAGAAUUCAUAUUUCAAUACCAGGCUUUCUCACCCUUCUUCUGUGUUUCUCUUGUAUGGUUGUUGUGACAUGGUUAUCCCUUUCCUUUCCCUUCCUUUCCUCCCUGUAUCGUUGCUAUCAAUGGCGUGCUGUCGGGCUUCUUACACCUCCUAAGUUCUCAAGAUAGGAAGGUUUCUUGAUGGUUACUAUGUUAGCAAGUUUUUCUGUUAACUUUAAAUUUGAAUUUUCUUCUUUGAUUGUUUCAUCAGAAUUUCCAGAUGACUCUUUCUUUGCCUCAGUGUCAUUGGAUUCAAAAUUCCAACCCAUAAAAUCUGACAGUGUCAUUGAAUUGGGUCCCUCUGUGGCUGGGUCGUCCAUGGGUGGUGUGCUUUCUUGAGGUGUCUCUUUUAAAGGGUUCCUCUUCUGUCCAGCAUAUGAUGGAUUUCGAGUGACAUAAUCAGCAUAGAGCACAUCUUCAAUUCGAGACAUGACAGUGUAGGCCAAGCUUUCUAGAAUUCUUGAGUAACUUUCCAAAAUUGCCUGUCCUAUAUCCUGGUUGUAUUGAAUUUUGCUAAUAUCUAGUGCAGAUUGAGGAAUUCCAGGGAACCUUUGCUUGAGAAUCAGUAAGAUAGUUUCUGCUCUCUCUUCGAAGAGUUCUCUCUUCUCCAAACUGACAGCAGAACCCCAAGCAGAUUUCCCAUCUUUCUGGUUCAUCUUCCUCUUCCAAAUCACUAUAGAAGCCUCAAUUCUGUUCUUCAGGUCUAGGAUUUUAUGCUCUGAUGAUAAGUCCAUGGUGGACAGAAAUUGGUCAGGAUCAAAGAAUUCAACUGUGAUACUCCUAUAAAUUGAGUCCCCGAGGCUUGCCCUCCCGUUCUUGGGUAGAGAUUCAAUGUAGUUUUCAGGAACCUCCAUUUCUGAUAGAACAUUGGCAUUUAUAGCCAUGGCUGCUUUCAGCACCUGGUUAACACAAUCCUUCUGAUACUGCAGAAAUUUUCUUGCCGCAUCUGAUAAACCAUUUGGAGGAACUUUGGCAGUAGGUAGCCACCAUUUUUCAUCUACUCUCUUGGUGUUACCUUUUUCUGAGUCAGGGGCAUCUCUUGAAACAUAAUAGAACUCAUUUUGGUCUUUGAAGUUAUCCAGGCAGUCUAUGAGCAUUGCAUCAAGCUUUCGCAAUGCGGGGAUGUUCAUGUGAAGAUCAUUUCGCUGUCUUGUCACCAUUAUCUCCAUAUCUGAACCAUCCUUGGAUUUCUGCUGAGAGGCAACAAAUUCAACAAUGUAAUCAGUCACACACAAGAGCAAAUCAAUUUCUUUUCUCCACCUUGCUUUCCUUUCUGCUGACAUAGGCUCCAGGCGCCAUUGUUCACCAAAUACAGAAGCAGCAAGAUUUGUAAUGGCAUUUGACAAUGCCAGAGCAGAAGAGACGCCCUUUCCUCCUCCUGACAUAUCCUCUCCCAAAAGCAAUUUGGCAAACCUUUCCUUCAUCUGUUCCAUUUCUGCAUUUUGUUUAUCUUUGGCAUCAUCCUUGUUUAAUCUUGAAUUAGGAUCCUUGUCGUUCUUAUUAUUCACGCUUGCUUUUGAUCCUUUGUUUCUAAAUGUUAUUCUCUCGUCCAUGGAAGAGUCGAGGAGACUAGAACUGUCAUCAACGCUAAGGCUCUUCACAUGACGACCUCCUGAGCUCUCAUUCAUCCCUUUGAAAUGAAACAAUCUAGACUUCAAAUUCUCUUGUUCUUGCUCAAGAGCACGAACCAUUUUAAUGGUCACAAAAGGGACAAGAAACUAGCAACAGAAAGGAAAACAUGAGAUUGUUGAACAUGAAAAAGCUUUGCUUGUUGGUUAUUGAGAAAAAGAGGAAGAACCCAACUUCAAAAAGAUUCUAUUUUUGCACAGAUUUGUGAUUCUUCUGAGGAAUUAAUGAGUUUGACAAAAUUGUGGAUGUAAUCAGCUAGGUGUUGGUAGAACGUGGCGUGCAUGCUUUGAGAAUUGAACUGUAUUAAGAGCAAUAAACAAGAAAAAGAAAUUUUUUUUUUCUUGAAUUUGUGUUAUGUGAGAAUUGAGCGGUUGUUUUUAGUUUUCAAAGGUCAAAGCUUGCAAAGAAAACGGGAAGACAGACAUAAAUGGGCAACCGCCAUUUCUCUGUAUAUUUUUCUCUAUAAUUUAUUAAUUUACCACCAAAAUGCACGGUUUAAAUGGAUUGAUGCAACUUGAUGCAACCCCAAAUAUAUACUUUGCAUAACAAAAGAGUUUAUUAAAAAAAAAAAACGUGAGACCCUGAAAAGUUCAUAUGAAAAUAAGUUUUGUUUGCCAUUUUGUCAAAUGGAACGACACCGUUUGGAAACUCGCAGACGUAGCAGUUGAGAACAGCUCUGUACAGCUCUGUGUGGUGGGAAAACUGUUUUCCUCUUUUGUGCCGUGCCACGCCACAAGCGAAAUCCAAACGCAAAAAUCCAAAGAAAACUCACCUGUAAACUGCAACUACGCAGUCACGCUGACCCCUGAAUACCCCAAACCAACCGCAGCCAAACUGUACAAAAUCGCAACUCUUCCAUUAUCACUCGCACUGAAAGGCUCACUUCUCCUGACAAAUAGGAGGACUCCAUCCAAAAAUACCAAUGGAGUCGAUCGGUGUUCUAAUGACCUGCCCUCCAAACUUCCCCUACCUCGUUGAAGAACUCGAGAAGCGCUUCACCCUCUACAAGCUCCAAAACGCCCCAGACAAGACCCACUUCAUCAAUUCCCACAAGAAUUCGAUCAGGGCAGUCGUGGGUAACGCCGGGUUCGGUGCCGAUGCCGAACUGAUCGACCAAUUGCCGAAGCUGGAAAUCGUCUCCAGUUUCAGCGUGGGGCUCGAUAAGGUUGAUUUGCCCAAGUGCAAGGAGAAAAGGAUACGGGUCACAAACACGCCUGAUGUUCUGACGAAUGAUGUCGCCGACUUGGCUAUUGGGUUGAUGUUGGCGGUACUGAGGAGGUUGUGUGAGAGUGAUCGGUAUGUCAGGAGUGGAAAGUGGAAAAAGGGUGACUACAAGUUGACUACUAAGUUUACUGGGAAGUCUGUCGGCAUUAUUGGGUUGGGCAGGAUCGGCAUGGCAAUUGCCACAAGAGCUGAAGCAUUUAGCUGUCCAAUUAGUUACUAUGCUAGAACAGAAAAACCAGAUGUAAAAUACAGGUACUAUCCAAGCGUUAUUGAGUUGGCUGCCAAUUGUCAAAUCCUUGUCGUUGCAUGUGCACUAACAGAAGAAACCCACCACAUUGUCAAUCGUGAAGUUAUGAAUGCAUUAGGUCCAAAGGGGGUCCUCAUUAACAUUGGUAGAGGUCCUCAUGUUGAUGAACCUGAGCUGGUGUCUGCACUACUUGAAGGCAGGUUAGGUGGUGCUGGGCUUGAUGUGUUUGAAGACGAGCCUAAUGUGCCUGAGCCGCUAUUUGGUCUUGAAAAUGUAGUCCUAUUGCCUCAUGUGGGAAGUGGUACGGUGGAAACCAGAAAAGCUAUGGCUGACCUUGUUGUUGGCAACUUGGAAGCACACUUCUUUAAGAAGCCUCUGUUGACUCCAGUGGUUUGAUUUUGACAUAAAAAUUUGUGAAUACAAAGACUGAUCAGAGGCGUCAUCAUGCUUCUGGGACUUGAAUUAAUCUAGAUAUCAUUAUUUCCAGGACCUGGCAAGAAUGCCUUGAUGGAAGAAAACAAUAUUCUCUAGAUUUCAAGUUGUAUGGCUGAAUUUAUUUUCUUCUUAGCACUCUUAAACAUGUUGGUAUUCUGAAAUGACAUUUACAUGUUCCAUUUUUUUUUUGCUGCCAAAUCU